UGACAAGUGUCUAAACCAACGACGUCUUUCUGACAAAGAAGUCUUGUUCGGCACUCCCCAGGCCAGACAGCUUUUUACCAGCAAGAGGGAACAGCGGUGAAGUUGUCGCAUUGGAAGCAAAGUUGUACUACUUUGUAGCAAAAAUUAUUACAGUCUGUGUUGUCCGUGGAGGAGUUCCCCAACUUUUUUUCUCAGUCAGCAAUUUGCGGGCUUCCAAAGGCCCCUUUCAGACCAGAAGUUCUGCAUGAUCACAAACUCCGGGAGCAGCUAAUCAAGGUUUGCAGAGGGCUUCAAGAUUCUGGGGCUACUGAAAGAGCUGCAGAAAAACCCAGCGGUUGUUUCUGACAUGUCCGUGUGUGAGGAGAAAGCCCUCACUGCCAGGGACAUGAGCCACAGUGGCCUAUUCUGCUCAGGGCAGCAAUCAGCGCGUUCUGGAGAACCAAUUGGUCUGCUUUAGGAGUGACUGGCUGAUUGACAUUAAAGAAGAGGAGGAUGGUCCACCCUCUCUCUCGAUGUUCACCUCUGGAGCCUCUGCCAUCCCUCCACUUGGCUUUUCCUGCCAGCCUGAAAUCCAGUUUCUGCAUGACACCAAGACAAUUUACCCAGAAGCCAAUACUAGUGUUGUUGUCCUGUUGUAUCUGUCGCUGCACUCCUCCUACAAGGCUGUUAGAAUAUACAUGAUGGAGGGAAUUUUGCAAGCUCCGACCUUUGGAGUUUCUUAAAUGAUCACGAAUGUGACUAUGAAAGGUUACGCUGUAAGGUGAUGACGGGUUUGCAUGUUUGUCCAGCUGUUGUUAAUGUUUUACUUAAUUUUAAGGUAAAACGUGGUUUUACAAGUCUGAAAAGUGUACCAGUGUUUAAAAAAUACUGUUAAUAUGUUUUUUACUAAAAGCCUUUAGCUGGUCCUGAGGAUAAAAUAUCAGAAGACUGUGCCAGAUGAUUCAGGUUCUGUCAUUAAACUUCUGAAAUGGUUUUAGAUUUUAACAACUUUCAGGAAGUUGACAAAUUGUUAUCCAAGACCAUCAUAUGUUCUCUUCUAGGUUUGUCUUUAUGGCAAUAAAGAAAAUACUCAAAAUUAAAGUUUGAUACAUAAAAAAAUAUUAAACUGAACUUAUCAUGGCCACUAAUGACAAAGAAAAAAUAAAUAAACAGAUAUUUUUGCCAAAAGGAGGGAGAAGUUUAACACAAGAAGAGGGCCAAAAUAAAAAUGUGUUUUUUAAAA